rnacentral:misc_RNA from 1 species
UUAAGUUCAGCGGGUAUCCCUACCUGAUCCGAGGUCAACCUGAAAAAUUGGGGUUGCUGGCAAGCACACACCCGGAUCUCCCAAAGCGAGAAGAAUUACUACGCUUGAAGCCGAAUGGCACCGCCACUGAUUUAAGGCUGCCGGAAGCCGGCAGGGCCCAAUACCAAGCAGAGCUUGAGGGUUGUAACGACGCUCGAACA